CGUGAUGCUCAGGUUAGGCGGUGGCUUCCAGUCCCCGCCGAGAGGCGGCCGGGGCAGCGCGCACUACUGCAUCGAGAGAAGGGUGCGCAGGGCGGCCUUCUUCAAGGCCCGAGGUCCCAAGCGACUUCUCUCCACGCGGACAGAGUCUGUGAAGCCAAGAAAGAAAGAGGCCGAAACCGGGCUUCUCUGGCUCGUAAAUUUGUUUCCCUUUCCUUUUAACCCGCCUCCGGACGUGUUUCUUUUCAGGACAGGAGGAGAUGUAAACUGUUUGAAGUUCAUCAACACGGUGAAGUUUUAUUGUAUUUCCGGUCCCCAAGAUUUAUACCCUGCAGGGGAAGCCCUAGGCCAGGCCGACUCCCUCCUUACCUCCGACUUCUCCACCGGACACGUGGCUACUCCAGCUCUUGCAGCCGCCACCAGGGAGGGAGCCGGGUCUGACCUGAAUGUGGAUGCGCUCUCCCUUCAGACACAUGCUCCCGCCUAGCUAGGGCUGCCCAGUGCUUCUUGGCUCCACUCUCCUGUCUACCCUCCAGUCUCAAAGCUGGGCUUGGUGUAAAGCUGCAAGAUUUGACCUCUCAGAGCUGUUCUGGAAGUCUGGGUAACCCUGGACUGGCCAGAUGGACUCAGCCACCUCCCACUGUCUUGGAUAUCCAUGAUGACUGAAAGUUGGUAAAACUGACAGCAGACUCCAUAUGUCUAGCAAACCAGGAACAGGUGCUUUGCCUUAACUGUGAUUCAUUCGCUGGCGGCCCAGCUUCUCCAGGAGGAGUCCAGGGAGGUCCCUUGACUUUCUCAAGCAUUCAACCACUACUUAGAAGAAUUUGCAUCAAAAUUUUGUUUCCCCACUUGGGUCCUAUGGAAAAAAGCAGAUCUUCACGCCGUUUGGUUCCGGAUCUGCUAGGCUGUCUUUCUCCAAGAGCAGGGGUGGGGGGUGGAAUUGGAGGGGCCGGC